UGGAUCACCUCCUAACAGGGAGACAACAAAAUGUUUAAUAUUAUUAUUUUGUCACCUUAGGUCGAUCGGUAUCUCACGUUCUUAUUUUGUUAAGAAUUUCAUUUCCUAAGUUUUUCUAGGUCACACCCAUUAUUUCCUGGGCCAUUAGCUCAGGUGGUUAGAGCGCACCCCUGAUAAGGGUGAGGUCCCUGGUUCAAGUCCAGGAUGGCCCAUAUCUCUAUGUUGGGGGUAUAGCUCAGUUGGUAGAGCGCCUGCUUUGCAAGCAGGAUGUCAGCGGUUCGAGUCCGCUUACCUCCACUGAUUACCACCUCUUCCAUAACUGGUAAAAAGGAAAUGUUUUGAGUUGUGAUCAUUAUUCCGAACGAAUCUAGCUUCCUAAUGAAAUCAUUAAGAUGCUGGACUCAUUGAAUUAAUUUCAUUGUUUUCAGAGAACCUUGACAACUGCAUAGAUUAUUUUUAAAGACAAUAAGCAUCUUUAAUGAUGCAGAUUCAUUAUUUGUGCGAAUGCAUUAAUAACAAUUCUAUUAAGCUGAUGCUUCAAUUUUUGAAGUUAUUGGUCAAGCUACAAAGGGCUCACGGAGGAUACCUAGGCACACAGAGGCGAUGAAGG
rnacentral:tRNA from 1 species